rnacentral:rRNA from 1 species
CCCUUAGAUGUUCUGGGCUGCACGCGCGCUACACUGAAGCGUUCAACGAGUAUUUCACCUUGCCCGGGAGGGUUGGGUAAUCUUUUUAAAACGCUUCGUGAUGGGGAUAGAUUAUUGCAAUUAUUAAUCUUCAACGAGGAAUUCCUAGUAAGCGCGAGUCAUCAGCUCGUGCUGAUUACGUCCCUGCCCUUUGUACACACCGCCCGUCGCUCCUACCGAUUGAAUGAUUUAGUGAGGACUUCGGACUGGGACCGAUGCGGCUUUCGGGCUGCGUCGGUAUUCUGGAAAGAUGUCCAAACUGUAUCAUUUAGAGGAAGUAAAAGUCGUAACA